UACAUAGGGGGCAAGCGUUAUCCGGAUUUACUGGGCGUAAAGGGUGCGUAGGCGGCUAAUUAAGUUUCUGGUAUAAGUGCAGUGCUCAACGCUGUGAUGCUAGAAAAACUGAUUAGCUAGAGUGAGACAGAGGUAAGUGGAAUUCCAUGUGUAGCGGUAAAAAUGCGUAAAUAUAUGGAGGAACACCAGUGGCGAAGGCGGCUUACUGGGUCUCAACUGACGCUGAUGCACGAAAGCGUGGGGAGCAAACAGG
rnacentral:rRNA from 1 species